rnacentral:lncRNA from 1 species
AUGGCCAUGCCGACGUUUCCGACGCCGACGACGGAGAUUUUGGUGCAGCGGUUGGAGGGGAUUGGAGGAUCGGAGUUUUGGAUGGGCUUGAAAAAGGCGCUGGUUAGGUCCAGCCCACCUGGGCCCAGAGAUGAACUCGAUGCGUUAUUAUUCUCCAUCAAAGAACAAUUGUAGCAAUUUGAUGAUUUUGGUUUUGAACGGGAAGGUGAAACCACGGUGGUUCGUUUGCCAAAGACGAGCGUCUGCAUAUAACAAGUGGCCAUUCAACAAAAAAAAAAGAGUGAGUGUGUGCAUUCAUAGAAAGUUAUUAAAGUAAUGAUUAAAUAAAUUAAUAUUAAAUAUCUAAUCCACAGGCGGUCUAGAUUUUUGAACAAAUAUCACGUAAUACUGAUCCACUUGUCACAUUGGUAUGUUUCAUUUUUGGAGUGUAUAAUGUGUGGUUGGUCCUUUUUCUUAUUUUCUCAACCAUACGGUUUUAAUAUUUAAAAGACUAGGUGAGUAUCCGCGCAACGCGCGGUUUUUUUUAUAAUUAUCAUGUAAAAAAUUAAUAUUAUUUAUAUGUAUAAAAUUUAUAUUUAAAUUAUUUAAAUUCUAAUUACUUUAAUCAAAACUAUUUUAUUUGUUUGAUAUUUCUAUCAAUUUAGAUAGUUAAUAUUUCCAUGUACUCUUUGAACAUUGAAUACAUUAUUUAAUUAGAACUAUUAUAAAUGUUUGAUAUUUCUACCAAUUUAAAUAAUUAAUGUUUCUAUGUACUCUUUAAACAUUGAACACACUGUAAUCAAUUAUACUUUCUUCUUGUUUUUUUUUAGAAUAAGGUUUAAUAUGAUUAGAAUGAUUGAAAGAAAACAGACAAUUAUUCUAUCCGUGUCAAAAUAUAAAUCGUUUUAGCUAGGUGAUUGCACACAUAUUAUAAAAGCUAUACUUAAAAUAUAUUAAAUUUUUUUAUUUAUAUGUUUUAUUAAUACAUUAUAUAAUCUUUUCUCUUAUUUAUACAUCACAUACAACAAUAUAGCUUUUAAAAGUAUGUAUUGAAAAGGAAAAAACAAAAAUGAACAUUGUCUUAGCUACCGUUAAUAAUAUUAUACAUUCCGUUGUCUAGAAGCGACCAAUGUUCCAUUACCAUGAGGUGUAACAUUACAUAUUUUAUUUUUGAUAGAAAAUUGAAUCAAAUUCAAAACAAAGAGAAACAAAAGUGGAACGUAGAAGAAAAAAAAAGCUAUGACAAUAUUUGUAACUCCUUUCCUAUUACAAUAUGCCUUGUUCUUAAUAUAAUUCUCUUCCCCAUGGCAUUAGAUGUUUCAUGAAACGAAGAAAAGGUUGGUUAAACUGGUCGAUAGCUAAACACUUAUGCAAAAGAUGAACAAAUUAUACCGCUGAACCCACUCUUAGCUCCCAAAUGCAGCCCUGGCUUCUCAGUAAAUGUUCCAUCCUCUGCCUGCAGUGAUGUCAUUAAUUAUGAGCCCAAGCUACUUUAACAAUCCCUUUUCCAACAGGGUGAGUAGUGUUUGAUUCAACAGCAGCUGCUAACCUCAAAACCUGAACUUCUAACCAAGUAUCAAUCAGACUGUGUUGACGUCAGAACAUGAGGAAACAGAUGUUUACAGACAUAAGGAAUCAUAUGUUUAUUACAAAUACACAGAAAUAGCAGAGAGCUUAAUCUUGGAUCUUCAGGAUAAUAACUUCAGUCACAAGAGUGUGUCCCUUUGUCAGUGUCCCGGUUUUGUUAAAGGCAACACUCAACGGAAUAAUUUUUUUCAAGAAUAUCACCACCACGAAGAGUAAUCCUCAUCUUGGUUCUAAUGAUGUACCAACCUAAAGAAUAUAUCAUGUUCUUCAACAUCUUACAUUGUCUGAUUCAUAGCAGAGAUAUCUGUACUUAGUAGAAAGCUUACAAGCAUUGCCGGUGGCAUAGCCAACCCGAGGGCACAUGGACCAGCCACAACCUAAAUCCAAUUAAAAGUCUGCAAGGCAGCAUGAUCAGUUGAUCACAAAAGAAAAUUUCUCUCAUCUAGGCAAUAGUCGAUUAAUCUUUUCAGCUUCUUAAUCAAACUUUGCGUUUCUUUGUUCCCCAUGGUCUGCAUUUCUUUGUUUGGAUACGAAUUCCAAAAGGGUGUCAGGUGGUUGAACCUGCCACCAUUAAGAGAUGAAAAAAAUCAGUUAAUAAAACUAAAUGAGGGCCUAAGCUACGAAAACAAACGAACCCGAAAAAACUAAGCUAAACUGGAGACUCAAGAGGGAAUGUUAAAGAGAUUCAAACCUUGCAAAUGAGUGAGCUUUUGAUCUACAUAUGCUGCGGAAAAGCGUGAAACAGUAAUUCUAUGUAAUUUUCGUAAUCCAUCUGUCUCAAAGUAAAAUUAAACGUCGGAGAUUAAAAAUGUUUUGCCUCUGUCUGCUUCAGAUCUAAAUAGCUGCCAUAAACCUUGAGACAUAAUUAGAGACGCGUAAAGAAAUAUCAUUUGAAUUAGAUAGAUCGAAAUAAUCAAUUACCAUUCUAGACGCUCGCAUCCAUCAUGUAUGCUUCCUGCAAGUUCUUCGCCGGCGGAUCACUCACUGACAGAAAAUUGAAUAGGUAAAAACUCCAAAAAAUUAGUAUAGCUCAAUAAGCAGCUGCAGGAAACUGGAAAACUUUUGCCAUUGAAUUUCAGUUAAAGGUAAUCUAUUACUGAAUCUAUGCUCCAGCGAUUGGAUUGUGAUAGAUCUUAAGUGAAACAAUGAGAGAAAUCACUUACCCUUGAGGCCUUGAAACGUUUCGGUUUUGUGUGCAGUUAUUAACGACAUAUGUAAUGUUUUUUUGCGGCACAACGCCUUUUGCUCCAGUAAAACAGUUGUUGGUCUAUGGUGUGGAGCUUUUAAACCAUCAUGUGGAUUUGGCAUACAAACAAUCAAAUCACAGGAUUGGUUGAUCGAUCAACCCAAUAUCAAAAUUAGGAAACGAUGUGAACAAAAAAUAAUAAUUAAGAGACAAGAUGAAAGAUGUAAAAUCGCGAAGCACCAGAAGAAGAGACGAAGCUAAGGAAAAACGUCCAAGCGUUGAGAGAUAUUGAUAUUUCUAUAGGCCAAAAAUGUAUAGGAAAAGAAGUUGAGGAGACGAUGAAUUGCAUUUGAUUGAUUUGGAAAGAUAAUAGAGAAGAAAAAGACGAGACGACGAGAGUUUUUGAUAUUUUUGUAGUGACACGUGGCACUCUUUCCUAUGCUGACGUGGCGAUCAGCUGGAGAGAGUUGGCCUAAAAUCAUAUAUAUGAUUACUGAUACACUUAUACACAUCAAACAGUAAAAAUGGAUAAGACAGAGGAGAACAAAACAUUGAAAAUUGUUAAUAUUCUCUCUAAGAUCCAAUGGUUGAUGGGUAAAUUACCAUAUUUUUCAAUGGAUCAAUGUAAUUAGGAAAAAAAAAAACAAUUGGCUGAUUUACUGUUUAAGAAAGUUGUGGAGAAUGAAUCAUUGUAUCAAAUUUAAAAGAUUACUGAUACACUUAUACACAUCAAACAGUAAAAAUGGAUAAGACAAAGGAGAACAAAACAUUGAAAUUGUUAAUAUUCUUUCACCAUUGAAAUUGAUGAUUUCAAAUACCGAUCAUAUUGACGAGAUUUGUAGGUAUAUCUGUAGAAGUAUGUCAUAUCCACUUGUGAAGAUCUGCAUCCAUCUGGUUGUUAGAAUUCUGAUAUAUCAUACAGAGUGUAGCUACAUCUUUUGUUUUUUACAAUCAUAUUGUGCAAUAUGACGGAUGCUCUCAUAAUCUUCCCAAUCUUUUCUUUAAUCCAAAUUAGAACUGGAUUUUUAACAAUUGCAAAACGAACUUGCAAGACUCGGAAAGUACGCCUGAUAUCUUUCUGGACGGAUUCUUGAGUUGUGGCAAACAAUAAAAUUUAUCCUCCUUUCACUCGAGCUCCUAGUGCUCAUUAUCGUCCGGUUUUCAUGGUGUGGGACCAUGAAAACCUCAUACCGCCUGCACACCUCGAUGGGGGAAAACUGAUGAAAAAAUAUUGAGUGAGGUCUAAAACGAAGCCAUCGCGCAUAUACAUUGUCUGGCGGUUGCUGUUACGGAAAUCUAAACUUAUUCAAUCCUCAACAAUAUUGCAAGAUCAUGGACUAUUUUGGAGGAAAUGAAGGUUAUAUGGGAAUCUUCCAUACUGAUAGACCUGAUUACCGAUGCAAGACCACACCUUGUUUCUCCAGUCACCCGAAUCAGCGUAACAAUAUCAGCGGUAAGUCAUCCGUCAUUUAGUACUCUUUUUGUGGUAUAUAUUUAUAUCUUUACAUAUAUGAGUGUUUGUUUUCCGAUUCACAAGUCCUUUCUCAGGAGAGAAAAUGAUCAGGCCGAUGAUUUCUUGUUAGAACAUCUACAGUUUUUAGCUUCAUUCACAUUGUCACCUUAAGUUUCAAUUCUGCCUAAAUGGUCACUAUCAGCUAAGUCAACUAGCCAAAGAUGGCUUAUUGUUUUGCCACUGAUCUUUCUCACUUUAAAAAGCUAAAAGCGUUGAGUUUGAUGAAUUUCAUGGCAUAAGUAUGUGGCUAUCUUGUAAUCCUUUCGAAAAUUGGAAAAAUUGAAGGUGUCAUCAUUAUUUUGGUGAUAAUUGAAGAUUAAUUGUUAUACAUACAAGUUUUGUGCACAUUAUAUUUGGCUUUUAAAAGUUUUGUGUAUAUCAAAGUAUUUAGUAAAUUGAAUAUAUCAUUUAUUUUUAAACUAAUAUUUUGAUUUGCAAGAUUCAGUUUUUUAAAAAAUUUGAAAAUUAAAACCUAAAUUUAUAUAUAGUGGGAUAAUCUAUAAAUUAUUCUUCAAGAUAACUCGCAAAUAACUACAAUUUUGAGACAUCAAUUCUAAUAUGCAUUGUUAAUAUGCAUUGUUAAUAUGCACAUGAUUCCAAAUUUUCUAGUCAAUCCAUGAACUAUUAAAAAUAUUUUUUUUUGUUUAACUCUUUAAAAAUAGUAAAAUAUUUAUAAACUUUUGCUUUGAUAUAUUUUCAAAUAAAAUAAUUCAAAUCAUAGUGUAAAAUGUUGUAAGAUAUGAAAUAGUUUUAUAGAUAAAUAUAUAAUAUAUAAAUGCCUUUGGCCAUUUAAAGUUUUUUAUACAAAAAAAAAAGUAGGGGAAUCGAACAUUUCACCUAAUGAUUACGAGAGACAUGUUUUACCAACUGAUUCAGGACAGAAACAUAUAAAAUGAGCACGUCCCCCCCCCCCCCCCCCCCCCACCUACUAACGCACCGCCCUUGGGUUCCUCCAAAUAUCUAUAUCACAAAUAUAAAAUGUGAUUCAUAAUGUUUACCAUAUAAAAUGUUAUAAAGUGUGAUUCAUAAUGUUUACCACCAAAUAUGUAAAAUGUUAUAAAGUGUGAUUCAUAAUGUUUACCGCCAAAUAUCUAUAUCACAAAUAGAAAGGAUUAUGAGACACCCAAAGUGUGCUGAGAGCCUGAAACCAUUACACCAUUAAACUUUUUUCACCCUCAACAUCAUUCUUCUGUUUCUAUUAAAAUCUAAAUAGAAACAAAGAAUUUACAUAACACAAAGAGAUCAUUCGGCAUGAACAAGCAUUUACAUAACACAAAGAGAUCAAGACAUUAAAACAUCCGUGGAUGAUGAUCAUAUCAAAAACAAAAGUUUAAAAAUCCAAACAAGUUUGAAGCAGAGAGAUAAUGUUCAAAGUCCCAACUGGGUCUGCAUCUCCAAUAUAGUCUUGGCCGACUUUUGGAGCUUCUCGGUCUCUUCAUCAGUCAUAUGCACAUUGGUCACAGAGACCACGCCAUUGCGUCCUAGCAGAGCCGGGAGGCUGAGGAAGACGUCACCACCGUCAACACCAUAAAAUCCACGAGCCAGGAUCGUUACAGGGUGGAUCUUGCGCUGGUCACGGAGGAUGGUUCGAGCCAGGCUUGCAACAGAGUAGCCAAUCGCCCAAGAAGUGUAGCCCUUGAGUCCUAUGACUUCGUAGGCGCCGCCAAUAACAGUUUGGUGGAUGUCUUCAAGUGUUUGUUUCUCGUAAGCAAUCUGUUGCUUCUCCAAGAAACUCAAGACAGGGAUGCCUCCAACACUUAUGCUCGACCACAAUGCCACUGAGCUAUCUCCAUGCUCUCCUACAAUGAAUGCCUGCAAAAAAACCAUUGAUCAUCCUCUCAUCAUCAAACCAUUUAACAUCAAAUCUGUGACAAUGAGAAAGAAUGCUUUUUUGCAUCUUAACAUUUUUACCAACAAAAAAAAAACGUUUUUUUUUUCGGAAAUCAUAACACAAAUCCCUAACUUUUGAUGGAACUGACCUGUACGUCCUGAGCAUUGACGUCGAGAUGAUCGGCGAUUAGGAAUCGGAACCGAGAGGAGUCUAGGUUGGUGCCCGAUCCAAUCACUCGAUUCACCGGAAAACCAGAGAGUUUCCAGGCGACGUAGGUCAAAACAUCGACGGGAUUGGAGACGAUGAGUAAGAUCGAAUCAGGAGAUGACUUCGCGAGCGGAGGGAUGAUGUGGCGGAAGAGAGCGACGUUUCUCUGAAGGAGGUUAAGCCUGGACUCGCCGGGGUUCUGUCUAGCGCCGGCGGUGACGAUGCAGAGAUCGGAUCCGGCGGUGACGUCGUAGUCGACGGAAGCUGUGAUUUUGGUGCGGGGGAGAAAAGCGGCGGCGUGCUGGAGAUCGAGCAUCUCGCCGCGAAGCUUAUCAGGCUUGGCGUCGACGAGUGCGAUCUCGUCGGCGAGAUCCUGAGUGAGGAUGGUUUGAGCGAUGGCCAUGCCGACGUUUCCGACGCCGACGACGGAGAUCUUGGUGCAGCGGUUGGUGGGGAUUGGAGGAUCGGAGUUUUGGAUGGGCUUGAAAAAGGCGCUGGUCAGAUCCAGCCCACCUGGGCCCAGCGAUGAACUCGAUGCGUUAUUGUUCUCCAUUGAAGAUCAACUGUAGCAAUUUCAGUGACGAUUUUUGUUUCUU